rnacentral:lncRNA from 1 species
UGGGCUAUACUUUCUACAUAUCACCUUUGAUUGCGCCUGGUUUUCCCCCACUGAAAUGGCUAAAGUGAUCUUGAAUUCCACUCCUCCUCCACUUUCUUUCUGCACGCUACUUUUUUUCAUUUCCAUUUCUCUCACACGCUUACACGUGUAAUGCCCUAUAAUCCAAUUUAAACACACAAUAAAAACCGUGGAUUGUUGAUUAAACAUUUCAAAUUUCAACCAUAUAAUAACUGUGCUUGACGACAAGGUGGACACAUUCUGCGAAUUGAAGGGCACAAGGUAUGAUGAUAAUAAACACAAAACGGGGAACGAAAACAAUAUAUGAGGAAUGGAAAUCAGAAGGCAAUAAGGCUUUACGUGUCACUCAACUCUCACACAUGGGUGAUGGGAAUAAUGCACUAUGCAGAUCUUAAAAAAAA